UACGUAGGGUGCAAGCGUUGUCCGGAUUUAUUGGGCGUAAAGCGUGCGCAGGCGGCUUUGCAAGACAGAUGUGAAAUCCCCGGGCUUAACCUGGGAACUGCAUUUGUGACUGCAUGGCUGGAGUGCGGCAGAGGGAGAUGGAAUUCCGCGUGUAGCAGUGAAAUGCGUAGAUAUGCGGAGGAACACCGAUGGCGAAGGCGAUCCCCUGGGCCUGCACUGACGCUCAUGCACGAAAGCGUGGGGAGCGAACGGG
rnacentral:rRNA from 1 species